rnacentral:rRNA from 1 species
GAUGAACGCUGGCGGCGUGCCUAAUACAUGCAAGUCGAGCGAACGGACGAGAAGCUUGCUUUUCUGAUGUUAGCGGCGGACGGGUGAGUAACACGUGGAUAACCUACCUAUAAGACUGGGAUAACUUCGGGAAACCGGAGCUAAUACCGGAUAAUAUUUUGAACCGCAUGGUUCAAAAGUGAAAGACGGUCUUGCUGUCACUUAUAGAUGUAUCCUCGCUGCAUUAGCUAGUUGGUAAGGUAACGGCUUACCAAGGCAACGAUGCAUAGCCGACCUGAGAGGGUGAUCGGCCACACUGGAACUGAGACACGGUCCAGACUCCUACGGGAGGCAGCAGUAGGGAAUCUUCCGCAAUGGGCGAAAGCCUGACGGAGCAACGCCGCGUGAGUGAUGAAAGUCUUCGGAUCGUAAAACUCUGUUAGUAGGGAAGAACAUAUGUGUAAGUAACUGUGCACAUCUUGACGGUACCUAAUCAGAAAGCCACGGCUAACUACGUG